UCCAAUAUGGUGUAGCGGUAACAUCGGUGCCUUUCAAUAAUGAAGUUGAUCGCACUAGCCCGGGGUUCGACUCCCCGUAUUGGAA